AACGAGGAUAUAGAUCAGUGUAAAGAUGUAAUAAUUAU
rnacentral:guide_RNA from 1 species